rnacentral:rRNA from 1 species
CGCGGUAAUUUGACCGUGCGAAGGUAGCAUAAUCAAUAGUCUUUUAAUUGAAGGCUGGAAUGAAUGGUUGGACAAGAAGCAUUCUGUCUCGUUUAUAAGAAUUGAAUUUAACUUUUAAGUGAAAAGGCUUAGUUGAUUUAAGGGGACGAUAAGACCCUAUAAAACUUUAUAUUAAUAUGUUAGUUUUUGAAUUUAAGUUUAAAGUGUAUUAAUAUUAGGAAUAUUAUGUUGGGGCGACAAGAAUAUAAUUGUAACUGUUUGUUAGAUGAAAUAGAUAUUUUUAGAGAGUUUUGAUCCUUUAGUAGGGAUUAUAAGAAUAAGUUACUUUAGGGAUAACAGCGUUAUUUUUUCUGAGAGUUCUUAUCGACGAAAGUAGUUGCGACCUCGAUGUUGAAUUAAAGUUUCAGUGGGGUGUAGAAG